AUACUCUGGUUUCUCUUCAGAUCGUAUAAAUCUUUCACCUUUUACUAAAGAUUUCCAUGGAGAGGAACAGUUAUAUAUUAAACCUAGGCAUUUAAUUGAAAAUCUUUCAAUAACAUUAAUGUUAUA
rnacentral:snRNA from 1 species